rnacentral:rRNA from 1 species
UCAUGGCUCGAGGACGAACGCUGGCGGUGUGCUUCACACAUGCAAGUCGAACGAGGUAGCAAUACCUAGUGGCGGACGGGUGAGUAACGCGUGGGAAUCUGCCUUUAGAUGGGGGAUAACGGGUCGAAAGACUCGCUAAUACCGCAUAUGACGAAAGUUGAAAGGAGUAAUCCGUCUAAAGAUGAGCCCGCGUCCGAUUAGCUAGUUGGUAGAGUAAAAGCCUACCAAGGCGACGAUCGGUAGCUGGUCUGAGAGGAUGAUCAGCCACAAUGGGACUGAGACACGGCCCAUACUCCUACGGGAGGCAGCAGUGGGGAAUUUUACGCAAUGGGCGAAAGCCUGACGUAGCGACACCGCGUGAGCGAAGAGGCCCCUUGGGGUGUAAAGCUCUGUCAGCUGGAACGAAAAAAUGACGGUACCAGCAGAGGAAGCAUCGGCUAACUACGUG